CGCCAAAGUCUUCACAGCAUAAUGCUAAAUAUUCAACUUCUAAAAGAAAAGAAAAUGAGAAAAAUAGUACGAAUCUGUGCACAAAGCAAGUCAAUCGCAAAUGACGAUGAAUUGAUGACAUCACAUAGCUUUAUACCAGAGGGUGCGAAAAGGAUUGUGGGCCAUAAAUGACAUGCGAAAAAACCAGGAAACCUGUUUAAAAACCGGUUUUCAUUGAUGUCCCAAUCCCCAAUUUCCUGCAACAUCCUACAUUUAUUCUAAACUUUUUGCAAAAUGGAGAAAAAACUACCAUUUUCUUAUUUUUCUUGUCCGAAAGACGAAGGUCCAUUAAUGUAUCACGUCUUUCAGGAAAUUAUAGUUUAAUCCAACAUCGAAACGCUGUCGCUCUCAAACAACGACGCGUCUUCUGUUUUUAUGCAGAACUUGUUACUUGUCUUAAGAAAUUUUAAUGAAGGAAUAUCGAUCGUAAAAA